rnacentral:misc_RNA from 1 species
CCGAGGUUUACAACUCCCAGACCCCUGUGAACAUACCUAUAUGUUGCCUCGGCGGAUCAGCCCGCGCCCCGUAAAACGGGACGGCCCGCCGCAGGAUCCACAAACUCUGUUUUUAUUGUAACUUCUGAGUAACAAAACAAAUAAAUCA